GGAGUUAGCCGGUGCUUCUUCUGUGAGUGAUGUCCUUCCUGCCGGCUAUUAACCCGCAGGCCUUCUUCCUCACUGAAAGUGCUUUACAACCCGAAGGCCUUCUUCACACACGCGGCAUGGCUGGAUAAGGGUUGCCCCCAUUGUCCAAUAUUCCCCACUGCUGCCUCCCGUAGGAGUCUGGGCCGUGUCUCAGUCCCAGUGUGGCUGAUCAUCCUCUCAGACCAGCUACGGAUCGUCGCCUUGGUGAGCCGUUACCUCACCAACCAGCUAAUCCGACAUAGGCUCAUCCGAUAGCGCGAGGCCCGAAGGUCCCCCGCUUUCCCCCGUAGGGCGUAUGCGGUAUUAGCCUGGGUUUCACCAGGUUAUCCCCCACUACCGGGCAGAUUCCUAUGCAUUACUCACCCGUCCGCCGCUCGCCACCAGGGAGCAAGCUCCCCGUGCUGCCGCUCGACUUGCAUGUGUUAGGCCUGCCGCCAGCGUUCAAUCUGAGCCAUGAUCAAACUCUGA
rnacentral:rRNA from 1 species